rnacentral:tRNA from 1 species
GCGAGAGUGGUGAAACUGGCAGACACGCUGGAUUUAGGUUCCAGUGCCGCAAGGCGUGUGGGUUCGACUCCCACCUUUCGUACCA